rnacentral:rRNA from 1 species
AAAUUGAAGAGUUUGAUCAUGGCUCAGAUUGAACGCUGGCGGCAGGCCUAACACAUGCAAGUCGAACGGUAACAGGAAGCAGCUUGCUGCUUCGCUGGCGAGUGGCGGACGGGUGAGUAAUGUCUGGGAAACUGCCUGAUGGAGGGGGAUAACUACUGGAAACGGUAGCUAAUACCGCAUAACGUCGCAAGACCAAAGAGGGGGACCUUCGGGCCUCUUGCCAUCGGAUGUGCCCAGAUGGGAUUAGCUAGUAGGUGGGGUAACGGCUCACCUAGGCGACGAUCCCUAGCUGGUCUGAGAGGAUGACCAG